CCUACGGGGGACAGCAGUGAGGAAUAUUGGUCAAUGGCCGGAAGGCUGAACCAGCCAUGCCGCGUGAAGGUCAGUGCCCUAUGGGCGUUAAACUUCUUUUGUGCGGGAGCAAUAAUGGUCACGUGUGGCCAGACGAGAGUACCGUACGAAUAAGCAUCGGCUAACUCCGUGCCAGCAGCCGCGGUAAUACGGGGGAUGCAAGCGUUAUCCGGUUUUAUUGGGUUUAAAGGGUGCGUAGGCUGGGAGGUAAGUCAGCGCUGGAAUGCCCCCGCUCAACGGGGUGAAGUGCCAUUGAUACUGCCUGGCUGGAAUGCAGGUGCCGUGAGAGGAAUGUGUGGUGUAGCGGUGAAAUGCAUAGAUAUCACACAGAACACCGAUUGCGAAGGCAUCUCACGAAUCCGCAAUUGACGCUGAUGCACGAAAGCGUGGGUAUCAAACAGGAUUAGAUACCCUUGUAGUC
rnacentral:rRNA from 1 species